GAUGAACGCUGGCGGCGUGCCUAAUACAUGCAAGUCGAGCGAAUGGAUUAAGAGCUUGCUCUUAUGAAGUUAGCGGCGGACGGGUGAGUAACACGUGGGUAACCUGCCCAUAAGACUGGGAUAACUCCGGGAAACCGGGGCUAAUACCGGAUAACAUUUUGAACCGCAUGGUUCGAAAUUGAAAGGCGGCUUCGGCUGUCACUUAUGGAUGGACCCGCGUCGCAUUAGCUAGUUGGUGGGGUAACGGCUCACCAAGGCAACGAUGCGUAGCCGACCUGAGAGGGUGAUCGGCCACACUGGGACUGAGACACGGCCCAGACUCCUACGGGAGGCAGCAGUAGGGAAUCUUCCGCAAUGGACGAAAGUCUGACGGAGCAACGCCGCGUGAGUGAUGAAGGCUUUCGGGUCGUAAAACUCUGUUGUUAGGGAAGAACAAGUGCUAGUUGAUUAAGCUGGCACCUUGACGGUACCUAACCGGAAAGCCACGGCUAACUACGUGCCAGCCGCCGCGGUAA
rnacentral:rRNA from 1 species